GGUGAGGAUAUAUGGAGGUAUGUUGGGAAGCUAACAGAUGCUCAGAAAAGCAUGUUGGAUGAUAGGUUUAAAUGGAAGGUUCGAGAGAUGGAAAAAUGGAAGGAAGGGAAGCCUGGCAAAGCCAGAGUUGCUUUGAGAUGUUCUGUGAGGGAAAUUGGAUUGGAUGUAGCAGAGCAGAGUGGAGAGAUUACACGAUCUAUCUCUGGCCCAGUACUUCCAAGGUAUUAGAGGCUCCGCAUAGUGAUCAUUUAAUUUUUUGUUUUUAAUUUUUUAACAAGUGAGAAAAAAUUUACUUGGACAUAUCAAGUGAUCCAGAAGGCAGUGCAAUGGAUGAACUUAUUAAAGAUGCAGACAGACUUGUUUCAUGCCUUGCAAACAAGGUUGCCAAGACCUUUGAUUUCAGCUUGACAGGAGCAUCAUCUAGAUAUUGUAAAUAUGUUCUCAACACCCUCAUGCAGGUAAGUUUGGUUUAUGUUGUUGUUGAAUGUCUUAAUGCUAACACUGUACUCUGUUUUUCCAUUUUUUUAUAUACCUUACUAUAAACCUAUAAUCAUCAAUUCUGGUGUGCUUGAUAGGUAAGGAUGGUGGUUGAUGAGAUCUCAGGAGGAUUUGGUUUCAUAGGGAAGAAUGAGAUUAUAAAUGGGAAGGCAGCUGUAAUUGGGUUCUUGCAGUUGUUGGAUUUUGAGCUAUUGACUAGUAAAGGACUUGGCAUUUGGUUUAUCACUUUCAGCACUGCUUGGGGAUAAUAUCUACAACUUUGGCGAGCUGCUGGCACAUCCUAUUAGUUAAUUUAACAGAUGGUCUUGAAGGGCUGGCUGGGCGGAUUGUUGCCUUGGCAUUUGUUGGAAUGUCAAUUGCAGUGCUUCCAAUAUGUCCUGGUUAGUAUGAAUCUUCUUGAAAUUAGAAUAUGAUGUUUGAAUAUUAAGAAUUAACAGUUGGAUAAUUUUCUAUUUUACUUGUUUCUUGGUUUGAGCAUAUAGUUAGUAUUUUUUUAUUUUGUAUAGAUGUGAUCUCAAUCAUUAGGCCAGAAGUAAAUGAGGGUUUGAAUAAGUAUCCAUAUGUUAAAAAGCUAUGUUCAAGAACAGUUGCUAACACUUGGUAUAUGUUUGUCUCAGUAUCUUAUGCUUUGUUAUGAGUUUUCUGGUUUUGUUGAUAUGAUUCUUUCUGUGGUUUUUGUUAUAGGUUUUCAGUGAUCCUCAGAAGAGAGCCAUAUACGAUCAAUAUGCUGAAGAAGGUCUCAAAGG